GGAUUGCCCUAGUAACGGCGAGUGAAGCGGCAACAGCUCAAAUUUGAAAUCUGGCUCUUUCAGGGUCCGAGUUGUAAUUUGCAGAGGGCGCUUUGGCGUUGGCAGCGGUCCAAGUUCCUUGGAACAGGACGUCACAGAGGGUGAGAAUCCCGUACGUGGUCGCUAACCUUCGCCGUGUAAAGCCCCUUCGACGAGUCGAGUUGUUUGGGAAUGCAGCUCUAAAUGGGAGGUAAAUUUCUUCUAAAGCUAAAUACUGGCCAGAGACCGAUAGCGCACAAGUAGAGUGAUCGAAAGAUGAAAAGCACUUUGGAAAGAGAGUCAAAUAGCACGUGAAAUUGUUGAAAGGGAAGCGCUUGCAGCCAGACUUGCCUGUAGUUGCUCAUCUAGGCUUUUGCCUAGUGCACUCUUCUAUGGGCAGGCCAGCAUCAGUUUGGGCGGUUGGAUAAAGGUCUCUGUCAUGUACCUCUCUUCGGGGAGGCCUUAUAGGGGAGACGACAUGCAACCAGCCUGGACUGAGGUCCGCGCAUCUGCUAGGAUGCUGGCGUAAUGGCUGUAAGCGGCCCGUCUUGAAACACGGACCAAGGAGUCUAACAUCUAUGCGAGUGUUUGGGUGUCAAGCCCGAACGCGUAAUGAAAGUGAACGGAGGUGGGAACCUUAGGGUGCACCAUCGACCGAUCCUGAUGUCUUCGGAAGGAUUUGAGUAAGAGCAUGGCUGUUGGGACCCGAAAGAUGGUGAACUAUGCUUGAAUAGGGUGAAGCCAGAGGAAACUCUGGUGGAGGCUCGCAGCGGUUCUGACGUGCAAAUCGAUCGUCAAAUUUGGGCAUAGGGGCGAAAGACUAAUCGAACUAUCUAGUA
rnacentral:rRNA from 1 species